rnacentral:rRNA from 1 species
GACGAACGCUGGCGGCGUGCCUAAUACAUGCAAGUAGAACGCUGAAGGAGGAGCUUGCUUCUCUGGAUGAGUUGCGAACGGGUGAGUAACGCGUAGGUAACCUGCCUGGUAAUGGGGGAUAACUAUUGGAAACGAUAGCUAAUACCGCAUAAUAGCAGUUGUUGCAUGAUAACUGUUUGAAAGGUGCAAUUGCACCGCUACCAGAUGGACCUGCGUUGUAUUAGCUAGUUGGUGGGGUAACGGCUCACCAAGGCGACGAUACAUAGCCGACCUGAGAGGGUGAUCGGCCACACUGGGACUGAGACACGGCCCAGACUCCUACGGGAGGCAGCAGUAGGGAAUCUUCGGCAAUGGACGGAAGUCUGACCGAGCAACGCCGCGUGAGUGAAGAAGGUUUUCGGAUCGUAAAGCUCUGUUGUAAGAGAAGAACGAGUGUGAGAGUGGAAAGUUCACACUGUGACGGUAUCUUACCAGAAAGGGACGGCUAACUACGUG